rnacentral:rRNA from 1 species
UCGCAAGGGUGAAACUCAAAGGAAUUGACGGGGGGCCCGCACAAGCGGUGGAGCAUGUGGUUUAAUUCGAUGCAACGCGAAGAACCUUACCUGGGCUUGACAUGCAGGGGACAGGUGUUAGAGAUACACCCUUCUUCGGACUCCUGUACAGGUGCUGCAUGGCUGUCGUCAGCUCGUGUCGUGAAAUGUUGGGUUAAGUCCCGCAACUGAGCGCAACCCUGGUCCUUAGUUGCCAGCACGUCAUGGUGGGAACUCUAGGGAGACUGCCGGUGACAAACCGGAGGAAGGUUGGGGACGACGUCAAGUCAUCAUGGCCCUUACGUCCAGGGCUACACACGUGCUACAAUGCACAUACAGAGGGCAGCGACCCGCGAGGGAAGCCAAUCCCAAAAAGUGUGCCUCAGUUCGGAUCGCAGUCUGCAACUCGACUGCGUGAAGUCGGAAUCGCUAGUAAUCGCGGAUCAGCAUGCCGCGGUGAAUCCGUUCCCGGGCCUUGUACA